UACGUAGGUGGCAAGCGAUACUCGGAAUCACUAGGCGUAAAGCGCAGGUAGGCGGUUUGGUAAGUCUUUUGUGAAAGCUCCCGGCUUAACUGGGAGAGGUCAAAGGAAACUACCAGACUAGAGUGUGGUAGGGGAUACUGGAAUUCCUGGUGUAGCGGUGAAAUGCGUAGAUAUCAGGAGGAAUACCUAUGGCGAAAGCAGGUAUCUGGGCCAUCACUGACGCUGAGCUGCGAAAGCUAGGGGAGCAAACAGG
rnacentral:rRNA from 1 species